AGAGUUUGAUCAUGGCUCAGAAUCAACGCUGGCGGCGUGCCUAACACAUGCAAGUCGCACGAGAAAGUGGAGCAAUCCAUGAGUAAAGUGGCGCACGGGUGAGUAACACGUGACUAAUCUACCCUCGAGUGGGGAAUAACUGAGAGAAAUCUUAGCUAAUACCGCAUAACACUUACGAGUCAAAGCAGCAAUGCGCUUGGGGAGGAGGUCGCGGCCGAUUAGUUAGUUGGCGGGGUAAUGGCCCACCAAGACGAUGAUCGGUAUCCGGCCUGAGAGGGCGCACGGACACACUGGAACUGAAACACGGUCCAGACUCCUACGGGAGGCAGCAGUGGGGAAUUUUGCGCAAUGGGGGAAACCCUGACGCAGCAACGCCGCGUGGAGGAUGAAAUAUCUUGGUAUGUAAACUCCUUUCGAUGGGGAAGAUUAUGACGGUACCCAUAGAAGAAGCCCCGGCUAACUUCGUGCCAGCAGCCGCGGUAAUACGAGGGGGGCAAGCGUUGUUCGGAUUUAUUGGGCGUAAAGGGUGCGUAGGCGGUUUGGCAAGUCUUAUGUGAAAUCUUCGGGCUCAACCCGAAGCCUGCAUAAGAAACUGCCGGGCUUGAGUGUGGGAGAGGUGAGUGGAAUUUCCGGUGUAGCGGUGAAAUGCGUAGAUAUCGGAAGGAACACCUGUGGCGAAAGCGGCUCACUGGACCAUAACUGACGCUGAUGCACGAAAGCUAGGGGAGCAAACAGGAUUAGAUACCCUAGUAGUCC
rnacentral:rRNA from 1 species